rnacentral:rRNA from 1 species
GACGAACGCUGGCGGCGUGCUUAACACAUGCAAGUCGAACGGAAAGGCCCUGCUUUUGUGGGGUGCUCGAGUGGCGAACGGGUGAGUAACACGUGAGUAACCUGCCCUUGACUUUGGGAUAACUUCAGGAAACUGGGGCUAAUACCGGAUAGGAGCUCCUGCUGCAUGGUGGGGGUUGGAAAGUUUCGGCGGUUGGGGAUGGACUCGCGGGUUAUCAGCUUGUUGGUGGGGUAGUGGCUUACCAAGGCUUUGACGGGUAGCCGGCCUGAGAGGGUGACCGGCCACAUUGGGACUGAGAUACGGCCCAGACUCCUACGGGAGGCAGCAGUGGGGAAUAUUGCACAAUGGGCGGAAGCCUGAUGCAGCAACGCCGCAUGCGGGAUGACGGCCUUCGGGUUGUAAACCGCUUUCGCCUGUGACGAAGCGUGAGUGACGGUAAUGGGUAAAGAAGCACCGGCUAACUACGUG